UACGAAGGGGGCUAGCGUUGCUCGGAAUCACUGGGCGUAAAGGGUGCGUAGGCGGGUUUUUAAGUCAGGGGUGAAAUCCUGGAGCUCAACUCCAGAACUGCCUUCGAUACUGAAGAUCUUGAGUCCGGGAGAGGUGAGUGGAACUGCGAGUGUAGAGGUGAAAUUCGUAGAUAUUCGCAAGAACACCAGUGGCGAAGGCGGCUCACUGGCCCGGUACUGACGCUGAGGCACGAAAGCGUGGGGAGCAAACAGG
rnacentral:rRNA from 1 species